rnacentral:rRNA from 1 species
GCGAACGCUGGCGGCAGGCCUAACCCCUGCAAGUCGAACGGAUCCUUCGGGAUUAGUGGCGGACGGGUGAGUAACACGUGGGAACGUGCCCUUUGGUUCGGAACAACUCAGGGAAACUUGAGCUAAUACCGGAUGUGCCCUUCGGGGGAAAGAUUUAUCGCCAUUGGAGCGGCCCGCGUCUGAUUAGCUAGUUGGUGAGGUAACGGCCCACCAAGGCGACGAUCAGUAGCUGGUCUGAGAGGAUGAUCAGCCACACUGGGACUGAGACACGGCCCAGACUCCUACGGGAGGCAGCAGUGGGGAAUCUUGCGCAAUGGGCGAAAGCCUGACGCAGCCAUGCCGCGUGAAUGAUGAAGGUCUUAGGAUUGUAAAAUUCUUUCAGCGGGGACGAUAAUGACGGUACCCGCAGAAGAAGCGCCGGCUAACUUCGUG